GAAUGUUUUCUGUUUGAUCACAUUUGUUGAGGUCUGAAUGCAAAUGUGGCUAAAAUCCGGCUAGCUCAAGGAUCAUGACAUCACACUUCCUCACUAUGU